AUUAUUUUACUGUGAAAUGCAUGAUAUAUGUUUUGUUGUUGGGUUCGGUAUUUAGUGGUUGUGAGUGGGGUUAGAAUCCUAUGCUAUUUUGCUGAUAUGAAAUAUAUAUAUUUUUUUAUUAAAAAGCUUUACUGUUUGUGGGUUUGGGGUUGCAGUUUAUAUUUUCUUUUAAGGUUUAGGGUUUAAUAAUACAUAAUACUAUUUCGGUGAUCUACAUUGUAUAGUUUCAUAUUACAUAAUAUUAUGCACUAUUUUAAGUUUUGGGUUUAGGGUUUAAAUUUGAUUUAGGGUUUAGUGAUUUUGGGUUUAAGGUUUAGUAAUUGGAAGGUGAGGGUUGAGGUUGGGGUCAACAUAUACAUUUCAUAAUUUCACCAAUAUGUACUGUACUAUUGAUUUUGUUCCAUUCUAUCUGAGUUUAGGGUUUAUAUUGGUAUUUAAGAUUUAUAUUUGGGUUUAGGAUUUUGUGAUUAAGGUUUAGGGUUUAGUAUUUAGUAUUUGGAAGGUGGAGGUUGAGAUUGAGACCAUUAUUAACUUCUUACAUGCAAGCCUAGACAUUUCAUAAUUUUGUAAAUAUGUAUUAUAUUAUUUAUUUUACUUCAUUCUAUUUGGGUUUAGAGUUUAUAUUUGGAUUUAGGAUUUAUAUUUUGGUUUUGGCUUUAGUGACUAGGAUUUAGGAUUUAGUAUUUAGGGGUUGUGGAUGUAAUUGUGAUAGGCUUUAAUAUCUAGGGUAGAGAUGAAAAUGGUGUUCUAUAUUAAUUUGUUGAUAGGAAGUAAAUGAAAUAUACCAUUUACUGCAGGAGUAUUUUAUUUUUGUCCACUUAUUUAUUGAACACAUUGAAAUGUAUGCGUUUAUUUAGUACGUGACAUGGAAGGUGUAUCUUUCCUUUUAAGAUAUAGCUCACUGUAAAUAAUGACAAUACAUGUU
rnacentral:lncRNA from 1 species